rnacentral:rRNA from 1 species
AGCGUACACGGUGGAUGCCUUGGCAAUCAGAGGCGAUGAAGGACGUGCUAAUCUGCGAUAAGCUUGGGUGAGUUGAUAAGAAGCGUUUAACCCAAGAUGUCCGAAUGGGGAAACCCAGUAGAUGAAGAAUCUACUAUCACUUGUUGAAUACAUAGGCAAGUGAAGCAAACCGGGAGAACUGAAACAUCUAAGUACCCCGAGGAAAAGAAAUCAACCGAGAUUCUGUCAGUAGCGGCGAGCGAAAGCGGAAGAGCCUGUUAGUGAUAGCAGUUUUGUUAGGAGAAUGUGCUGGGAAGCACAAUCAAAGAGGGUGAUAAUCCCGUAUCCGAAAACAUUACUGUGGUACUAAGCUAACGAAAAGUAGGGCGGGACACGAGAAAUCCUGUUUGAAGAUGGGGGGACCAUCCUCCAAGGCUAAAUACUCCUGAUUGACCGAUAGUGAACCAGUACUGUGAAGGAAAGGCGAAAAGAACCCCAGUGAGGGGAGUGAAAUAGAACCUGAAACCGUGUACGUACAAGCAGUGGGAGCAGAUUUAUUCUGUGACUGCGUACCUUUUGUAUAAUGGGUCAGCGACUUAUAUUUUGUAGCAAGGUUAACUGAAUAAGGGAGCCGAAGGGAAACCGAGUCUUAACUGGGCGAAGAGUUGCAAGGUAUAGACCCGAAACCCGGUGAUCUAGCCAUGAGCAGGUUGAAGAUUGGGUAACACUAAUUGGAGGACCGAACCGACUAAUGUUGAAAAAUUAGCGGAUGACUUGUGGCUGGGGGUGAAAGGCCAAUCAAACCGGGAGAUAGCUGGUUCUCCCCGAAAUCUAUUUAGGUAGAGCCUUGAGCGGACACCUUCGGGGGUAGAGCACUGUUUCGGCUAGGGGUCCAUCCCGGAUUACCAACCCGAUGCAAACUACGAAUACCGAAGAGUGAUACUCAGGAGACACACGGCGGGUGCUAACGUCCGUCGUGGAGAGGGAAACAACCCAGACCGCCAGCUAAGGUCCCAAAGUCUAUAUUAAGUGGGAAACGAAGUGGGAAGGCUUAGACAGCUAGGAUGUUGGCUUAGAAGCAGCCAUCAUUUAAAGAAAGCGUAAUAGCUCACUAGUCGAGUCGGCCUGCGCGGAAGAUGUAACGGGGCUCAAAUAUAGCACCGAAGCUGCGGCAUCAGACGAAAGUCUGUUGGGUAGGGGAGCGUUCUGUAAGCGGAUGAAGGUGAAUCGAGAGGUUUGCUGGACGUAUCAGAAGUGCGAAUGCUGACAUAAGUAACGAUAAAACGGGUGAAAAACCCGUUCGCCGGAAGACCAAGGGUUCCUGUCCAACGUUAAUCGGGGCAGGGUGAGUCGGCCCCUAAGGCGAGGCUGAAAAGCGUAGUCGAUGGGAAACGGGUUAAUAUUCCCGUACUUGGAUAAACUGCGAUGUGGGGACGGAGUAGGUUAGGUUAUCGCACUGUUGGAUAUGUGCGUUUAAGUUGGUAGGUGGGAAGUUUAGGCAAAUCCGGACUUCUAUUAAACACUGAGAGAUGAUGACGAGGCUCUACGGAGCUGAAGUAACCGAUACCACACUUCCAGGAAAAGCCACUAAGCUUCAGGUUUAUCUAAACCGUACUGAAAACCGACACAGGUGGUCAGGUAGAGAAUACUCAGGCGCUUGAGAGAACUCGGGUGAAGGAACUAGGCAAAAUAGCACCGUAACUUCGGGAGAAGGUGCGCCGGCGUAGAUUGUAACCCCUUGCGGGUGAAGGUUGAACCGGUCGAAGAUACCAGCUGGCUGCAACUGUUUAUUAAAAACACAGCACUCUGCAAACACGAAAGUGGACGUAUAGGGUGUGAUGCCUGCCCGGUGCUGGAAGGUUAAUUGAUGGUGUAAUCGAAAGAGAAGCUCCUGAUCGAAGCCCCAGUAAACGGCGGCCGUAACUAUAACGGUCCUAAGGUAGCGAAAUUCCUUGUCGGGUAAGUUCCGACCUGCACGAAUGGCAUAAUGAUGGCCAGGCUGUCUCCACCCGAGACUCAGUGAAAUUGAAAUCGCCGUGAAGAUGCGGUGUACCCGCGGCUAGACGGAAAGACCCCGUGAACCUUUACUAUAGCUUGACACUGAACAUUGAAUUUUGAUGUGUAGGAUAGGUGGGAGACUUAGAAGUAGGAACGCCAGUUUCUAUGGAGUCGACCUUGAAAUACCACCCUUUAACGUUUGAUGUUCUAACGAAGAUUGCGGAACGCGGUCUCGGACAGUGUCUGGUGGGUAGUUUGACUGGGGCGGUCUCCUCCCAAAGAGUAACGGAGGAGCACGAAGGUUUGCUAAUCACGGUCGGACAUCGUGAGGUUAGUGCAAUGGUAUAAGCAAGCUUAACUGCGAGACAGACAAGUCGAGCAGGUACGAAAGUAGGUCAUAGUGAUCCGGUGGUUCUGAAUGGAAGGGCCAUCGCUCAACGGAUAAAAGGUACUCCGGGGAUAACAGGCUGAUACCGCCCAAGAGUUCAUAUCGACGGCGGUGUUUGGCACCUCGAUGUCGGCUCAUCACAUCCUGGGGCUGAAGUAGGUCCCAAGGGUAUGGCUGUUCGCCAUUUAAAGUGGUACGCGAGCUGGGUUUAGAACGUCGUGAGACAGUUCGGUCCCUAUCUGCCGUGGGCGUUGGAGAAUUGAAAGGGGCUGCUCCUAGUACGAGAGGACCGGAGUGGACGCAUCCCUGGUGUUCCGGUUGUGUCGCCAGACGCAUUGCCGGGUAGCUACAUGCGGAAGAGAUAAGUGCUGAAAGCAUCUAAGCACGAAACUUGCCAAGAGAUGAGUUCUCCCAGAUUAUAAAUCUGUAAGGGUUGU